GGGGAGGAUAGAGUGUACGCAGAUCAUAUAUCGACCUCAGAGGUAGAGAGGCCUUUUUUUGAUAAACCCUCAGCUCAAGAAUUCUAAUUUAGAUAUCAUUUAUCAAAUUUCUUGUUAAUCUAGAUGUGUGGAUGCAAAGGUCGAGGAUUAGGGCAAAAACUUAGUAAGUAGUGGAAGUUAUUAAAUGUGCCCAAAUGGAGUUCAACGGAUAUAGAGGGUUUGUAUGGAGAUUGGUUGACUAGUUUGGGAUCGAGAUGUUGUGGUUUUCUCGGGGAGUUCUAAUUUAGAUAUCAUUUAAUGAAAUUUCUUGUUAAUCUUAGAUAUAUGGAUGUGAGGUCGAGAAUUAGGAUAGAAAGGUAGUAGGUACUCUGAGUUGUAUAGUUUUUUUUUUUUUUUUAAAUUAUUAUUAAAUUACUCUUUUUACUAUCUUAGAGUUCAAUGGAUAUAGAGGAUUCAUAUGGAGAUGCUUAGCUAGUUUGGGAUCGAGACAUUGUUGUUUCUUCGUGGAGUUCUUCUAAUUUAGAUAUUGUUUGGUAAAAUUUCUUGUUCAUCUUGGAUAUGAGGAUGUGGAGGUCGAGUAUUAGGGUAGAAAGUUAGUAGGUAGUCGAGAAUUGCUAAAUGUGCCCAAGGGGAGUUGAAUGGAUAUAGAGGAUUCAGAUGGAGAUUGCUUAACUAGUUUUGGAUCGAGAUGUUGUUGAUGUGGAGUUCUUCUAAUUUGGAUUCUCAUUUAGCGAAAUUUCUUGUUAAUCUAGAUAUGAGGAUGUGGAAGUCGAGAAUUAGGGUAGAAAGUUUGUAGGUUGUCAAGAGUUAUAUGGUUUCUCUUUUAAGUAUUAUUAUAACUAUUUUUACUAUCUUAAGUUCAAUGGAUAUAGAGGAUUCAUGUGGAAAUGGUUAGCUAGUUUGGGAUCGAGACGUUGUUGCUGUGGAGUUGUUCUAAUUUAGAUAUCAUUUAGCAAAAUUUCUUUCUAAUUUUAGAUAUGAGGAUUUGGAGUUCGAGGAUUAGGGUGGAAAGCUAGCCGGUAGUCCAGAGCUGUAUAGUUUCUCUUUUCAGUAUUGUUAUUACUCUUUUUACUAUCUUGGUGUUCGAUUUCUUGUUACCCUGCAUUUACUUUCACCCUGACCGUUUGUUAUUGCUACGGUUCUUUUCUUCAUUAUUUUCUAAUUAUAUGGAGAUUCCUUAACUAGUUUGGAAUUGAGAUUUUGCUGCGGUGGUGGUGGAGUUCUGAUUAGAUUUUCAUUUAGCAAACUUUCUUGUUUAUGAUAGGAGAAUGUGGAGGUUGAGUAUUAGGGUAGAAAGUUAGUAGGCAGCCGAGAGUUGCUAAAUGUACAUAUAUAGAGUUUAAUGGAUAUCAAGGAUUCAUAUGGAGAUUGCUUAACUAGUUUGGAAUCGAGACGCUGUUGUUGAGUUCUUCUAAUUUAGAUAUACAACAUCAUACCUAGUGUAAUCGCACAAAGUGGAGUUUGGGGAGGAUAGAGUGUACGCAGAUCAUAUAUCGACCUCAGAGGUAGAGAGGCCUUUUUUUGAUAAACCCUCAGCUCAAGAAUUCUAAUUUAGAUAUCAUUUAUCAAAUUUCUUGUUAAUCUAGAUGUGUGGAUGCAAAG
rnacentral:lncRNA from 1 species